UCUUAUGGUUUUGUCCAAAUUUAUUCUGUUUGUUUUUUUUUGUGAUGAUGAUGAUCAAUUUGAAUGAUCACUCAAAAUUCAUGGAAAAAAAUAUUCUAUUUAUAUCGAAAUUCUAUACACUUUUUUUCGAUAUAUUUAUGAAUAUAGAGACGAUAAUAUUCUGGCCAGAAAAAUAUGUUUUCUUCAUUUUCACAUUCGAUAUCUAAUGUCAGUCAUAGUGGAUAGAUAUUUGAUGGUAUGCAAUUACGAUAUCCAAUAGACAAUGUACUUUUUUUUCUUCAUACUUUCCAUCGAUAAAUUUAAUGUUUGAUUGACCAUUGAUUGAUUGGAUUCGAUUAUUUUGAUUAGAAUAAUGAUAAUAAUGUCUAUAUGGUUUUUUUUUUUUUUGGUGGCCUGUAUUGGUGAUUCUCGUCUUAUUUUCAUCAGGCAAUCAGUGAUAUGAAGUAAAAAAAGAAACUGGGUGUGUUUGUGUGUGUUGGUUUUGUUAUUUUUUUUUUC